AUAAGAGCAGCGCUCAGACAGCCGGUGGAUGCCAGAGUGUUAGCAUCAGUGGUUCCCCGUGCCUUGAUCCAGCCGUGGCGCUUAUGCACUUGUCUUGCCAGACUUCAGAGGAAAACCAGUCAGUCUGACUCACCAGAUUCCACCGGCUGUCCUCGACCACCUCGGGCGCUGCUCGGACCUCCCCUUGCUCCUACAGCUCACCGUCGCUCAGUCACCAACCUCCAUCAGAGCAGAAAGCGCUAAGUUCCUCCUCCGCUCCACUUCCCCCGGUCCGGUCCCCGAGCCUUGUGAUCGUCUCACCCCGGCUCCGUUCAGCCUUGAACCCAGAUACUUAAAUUCUGUGAUCAGCCAACUCCGCUCCUGUAAAUAAAACCUUUGAACUGCUCAUUGUUGUCCCAGGUGUCUCUCUGCAUGUGGGCCAAAUACGUCCGAAACAUGAACUCAAUAAUCUAAAACUUUUUCCACAUACACAAUAUCACCAUUUCCCUCAAAUAUUGUUCACAAAC